UACAGAGGUCCCAAGCGUUGUUCGGAUUCACUGGGCGGAAAGGGUGCGUAGGUGGUGAGGUAAGUCGGAUGUGAAAGCUCGGAGCUCAACUCCGAAAUGGCAUUGGAAACUACCUUGCUCGAGGGUUGGAGGGGGGACUGGAAUACUUGGUGUAGCAGUGAAAUGCGUAGAUAUCAAGUGGAACACCAGUGGCGAAGGCGAGUCCCUGGACAACUCCUGACACUGAGGCACGAAAGCGUGGGGAGCAAACAGG
rnacentral:rRNA from 1 species